CGUCCUAAAACAUGCAGUCGAGCGGUAACACAGAGAGCUUGCUCUCGGGUGACGAGCGGCGGACGGGUGAGUAAUGUCUGGGAAACUGCCUGAUGGAGGGGGAUAACUACUGGAAACGGUAGCUAAUACCGCAUAACGUCGCAAGACCAAAGUGGGGGACCUUCGGGAUGCCAUCAGAUGUGCCCAGAUGGGAUUAGCUAGUAGGUGGGGUAAUGGCUCACCUAGGCGACGAUCCCUAGCUGGUCUGAGAGGAUGACCAGCCACACUGGAACUGAGACACGGUCCAGACUCCUACGGGAGGCAGCAGUGGGGAAUAUUGCACAAUGGCCUCGCGCAAGCCUGAUGCAGCCAUGCCGCGUGUAUGAAGAAGGCCUUCGGGUUGUAAAGUACUUUCAGCGAGGAGGAAGGCGUUAAGGUUAAUAACCUUGGCGAUUGACGUUACUCGCAGAAGAAGCACCGGCUAACUCCGUGCCAGCAGCCGCGGUAAUACGGAGGGUGCAAGCGUUAAUCGGAAUUACUGGGCGUAAAGCGCACGCAGGCGGUCUGUCAAGUCGGAUGUGAAAUCCCCGGGCGAGCUCAACCUGGGAACUGCAUUCGAAACUGGCAGGCUAGAGUCUUGUAGAGGGGGGUAGAAUUCCAGGUGUAGCGGUGAAAUGCGUAGAGAUCUGGAGGAAUACCGGUGGCGAAGGCGGCCCCCUGGACAAAGACUGACGCUCAGGUGCGAAAGCGUGGGAAACAGGAUUAGAUACCCUGGUAGUCCACGCCGUAAACGAUGUCGACUUGGAGGUUGUGCCCUUGAGGCGUGGCUUCCGGAGCUAACGCGUUAAGUCGACCGCCUGGGGAGUACGGCCGCAAGGUUAAAACUCAAUGAAUUUGACGGGGGCCCGCACAAGCGGUGAGCAUGUUUGGUUUAAUUCGAUGCAACGCGAAGACCUUACCUACUCUUGACAUCCAGAGACCAGCAGAGAUGCUUUGGUGCUUCGGUACUCUGAGACAGGUGCUGCAUGCUGUCGUCAGCUCGUGUGUGAAUGUGGGAUUAAGUCCCGCAACGAGCGCAACCUUAUUCCUUUGUUGCAGCGGUUCAGGCGGUAACUCUAAGGAGACUGCGCAUGAUAACUGAGACAAAAGUGGGAGUAACGUCAAUAUCCAUUGGCCCUCUUAUAAUAUGCA
rnacentral:rRNA from 1 species